UGACGGCAUAGGAAAACUCAGUGAAGGCCGAUCAUGUGAUUAGAACACCAGCAGGAGAAGACCGGAGAGGAGAAGCAAAUGCAGAUGACUACUCCAGGAACAUCAGGCCGCUUGGAGGGGCUAAAACCGAAUAGGCCUCGUCCUUUCUCUCCGCAACCGCGUAGAGAAGGGACGGGGCCCUAUCCUGCUGACGUCACUAGGAGAAGGUUGAGAUGCGGGAUACCUAUUCACUUGUUCAGGGGGACUACCGAAAAAAUAAGAUUUUAAACCUACCGGAUCAGCCUCUGCAAACUAGAUAUGCGCCUUUGAUUGUGGGAUGAAAAGGCGUGCUGUGCAAACUUCACAUCAAGGUCCAACUUCUAUCACUUUAGAGUCACCGGUUUUGUUAUAUAAGUAAUAAGAAUUUACUUCUAAAAUGUUACUAAUAUUGCAAAAAUGUAGGUGGUAUAAAGUUCAAGUUCUUUUGUGGGGUGGAAACAUCUUGGUGGCUUCUACACGCAGCAAAAACAGGCCCUCUCCACCCCAUAUCUCCUUCAGAAAUCUCAUCUCUUCCCACACACUCAAAAGAGGAAGCCAUUUUCUGGGAUGUACAGACAUUGAUGUGAAAACAUAAUUCCACUACGGACUUCUGACAUCACUGAGGUAUUUGAGAGCCACACAGUAGGCAGAACCAUGUUGUUGGCUGAUCCAUUGUUUUAAAGCAGCCUGUCCAUUCACUAAGAGCUAGAGACAGGGAAACUCUUUUGAGUAUCCAGUCAGAAAGUCCAUAUUCAGAGGGCAAUAUUCAAUUAUUUUCACCCCCUUCCCCACUCGUUGUGUUUCUGCUGACGGGCAUGGUAUAAUCAUUUCAGUUCGCUAUUCCCGGAGUAGUGAGGGCACCCAACCCUUUACACAGCUAACCUUAAUUACUAUGGGCGCAAUAUGCGCGAUAACGGGGAUCACUUUAGAAAGGAGAUUGGGCAUGAUAUAUCAUUUGAAUACCGCCCAGAAUGUUGACAUGGACUUUAGGUCUGCAUCAAAUAUGUUGAAAUUGAAAAAUGUCAACAUGGUCAUAUUGUCUACAUUCAAAAUGUCGACACCCGCAUGUUGGCAUACAGGGUUUUUUACUUAUCUUUAGGGCUGGGUUAGGUUUAGGGAUAGGGUAAAAUAAGCAAAAAGCGGUAUGUCGACACAAUGGCGUCAACAUGUAAAAUUUUGGCAUUAUAAAUAUGGCAACAUUUUCCCCUUGUUGAGUGUCAACAUAUUGGUUGUCAACCUGAAGUCCAUGUUGACCAUCUGAAUGUAUACUUUUUAUACCACAGCCACACUUUUGGCCUCAGAAGUUGCUUUCUUGCAAAUAUGGAUACAAAAUGGCUGCCUCCAUUGUAUGCCUCGUGAUGUCAGUACAUUCUGGCGAUUUGCUAGAUUUGAAUAUUGGUUCGGCUUACAAAAUGGCUCCUUAUACUGUAUGAAGGCAAUUAUUUAAAAUCUUGUAUCAUGUUAAUACUGUACCCAUCUGUCCACGCACAGUUUACCUGGGUUUACUCUGUUUCUGGCAAGAAUAUACUGCAUAAUAUAAUGAAAUACAAUCAGUGCUGCCUGUAUUACAAGCUGUAUAACAUUUAGUAAAGUAGAACUGUGUAGAAUUUCCUGUCAGUCUGGCUUUGUAUCAUGACCUCUCCCCAAAUGGCAAAAACAUUUAUAACAUUUUCACUAUUGCAAGUACACAAUAAUAACAAAGAAGAAGAAAUCUUAUAAAUGCAAUAUGGAGCGUUCCAAAGUUUAAGAAACAUGUGAUAUGAGAAUACAUUAAUAUCUCAAAGACAUUCUAAAAGCACCGUCAUAGCAAUAUGCAGAGAACAUAUAGUACGCCAGUCAUAUCCUGUUAUAUACAUGUCUAGCACUUAUCGUUGCGUUUCAAUUUAUGGGCCCCAUGUAUCAUUUAUUCUGUGUUUUUGUAUGAGGAUUUUUUUUUU